rnacentral:rRNA from 1 species
ACGAACGCUGGCGGCACGCUUAACACAUGCAAGUCGAACGAGAGAAGAGGAGCUUGCUUUUCUGAUCUAGUGGCGGACGGGUGAGUAACACGUGAGCAAUCUGCCUUUCAGAGGGGGAUACCGAUUGGAAACGAUCGUUAAUACCGCAUAACAUAAUUGAACCGCAUGAUUUGAUUAUCAAAGAUUUAUCGCUGAAAGAUGAGCUCGCGUCUGAUUAGCUAGUUGGUAAGGUAACGGCUUACCAAGGCGACGAUCAGUAGCCGGACUGAGAGGUUGAUCGGCCACAUUGGGACUGAGACACGGCCCAGACUCCUACGGGAGGCAGCAGUGGGGAAUAUUGCACAAUGGAGGAAACUCUGAUGCAGCGAUGCCGCGUGAGGGAAGAAGGUUUUAGGAUUGUAAACCUCUGUCUUCAGGGACGAAAAAAGACGGUACCUGAGGAGGAAGCUCCGGCUAACUACGUGCCAGCAGCCGCGGUAAUACGUAGGGAGCGAGCGUUGUCCGGAAUUACUGGGUGUAAAGGGAGCGUAGGCGGGAUCGCAAGUCAGAUGUGAAAACUAUGGGCUUAACCCAUAAACUGCAUUUGAAACUGUGGUUCUUGAGUGAAGUAGAGGUAAGCGGAAUUCCUAGUGUAGCGGUGAAAUGCGUAGAUAUUAGGAGGAACAUCAGUGGCGAAGGCGGCUUACUGGGCUUUAACUGACGCUGAGGCUCGAAAGCGUGGGGAGCAAACAGGAUUAGAUACCCUGGUAGUCCACGCCGUAAACGAUGAUUACUAGGUGUGGGGGGACUGACCCCUUCCGUGCCGCAGCAAACGCAAUAAGUAAUCCACCUGGGGAGUACGACCGCAUGGUUGAAACUCAAAGGAAUUGACGGGGGCCCGCACAAGCAGUGGAGUAUGUGGAUUAAUUCGAAGCAACGCGAAGAACCUUACCAGGUCUUGACAUCGUAUGCAUAGCUCAGAGAUGAGUGAAAUCUCUUCGGAGACAUAUAGACAGGUGGUGCAUGGUUGUCGUCAGCUCGUGUCGUGAGAUGUUGGGUUAAGUCCCGCAACGAGCGCAACCCCUACUGUUAGUUGCUACGCAAGAGCACUCUAGCAGGACUGCCGUUGACAAAACGGAGGAAGGUGGGGAUGACGUCAAAUCAUCAUGCCCCUUAUGACCUGGGCCUCACACGUACUACAAUGGCUGUCAACAGAGGGAAGCAAAGCCGCGAGGUGGAGCAAACCCCUAAAAGCAGUCUUAGUUCGGAUUGUAGGCUGCAACCCGCCUACAUGAAGUCGGAAUUGCUAGUAAUCGCAGAUCAGCAUGCUGCGGUGAAUACGUUCCCGGGCCUUGUACACACCGCCCGUCACGCCAUGGGAGUCGGUAACACCCGAAGCCUGUAGUCUAACCGCAAGGAGGACGCAGUCGAAGGUGGGAUUGAUGACUGGGGUG